CCGCGCACCUGUCCGCCGGGUUCUGCGAGAGAGAAGGGAGCUGGUGUGGGGUCUUCGGGCAGGACACGCUUGGCUCAGCUGCUGCAAUGAUCAAUGCUUCUGCUGUAUCCUGGCGAGUCUCUGGGCUCUGAUCGGCGGCUGUCGGAUCCUCCAGGGCGUGGAGACCUGAUCGCAGACCCACUCGUGUACCGCGGUGGAUUCACAGGCGAGUCCGGGUCUCUUCUUCAAAGCGGACUUUCAAGCCGGCUUCCUCCAGGACUGAAGAUCGCUUUCAGGGUGGCGUUGUAACUCUUACCGGUAUCGCUGACUCUCGGACCAGGCGAGUCAAACCGCUGGUACUAGACCCGGUCCUGUAUGCGGCCUUACUGUGCCCUGCAGCUCCGGCUGGGUUUUCAUCCUCCGAAGGCGGUUUGCAUGAAGACGCACCGACCGCUCUGUUUAGCUUGAACUGGGGGAAACUUGUAACUUGAGUUUGCGGUAACUGGAGCCCAGCCGUGUGAGACCCGGCGAGAAAACGGUUUCCAACGGUGCGAGGAGAGAGAGAGAAACCGCUUAUCUGCUCCCAAAACACCACCUGCUUCUGUCCUGCCCGAAAGGUUAAAAGCAAGAGAUUUAAAUUUUGGCUCAAUCUCUCGUAGAAAACGGUUGCUGGAUUUAGCAAAAUCUGUAAGAAACAUUUCAUGCGUUUUUCUUUUUCGGCAGCCCAGCUGAGCACCUGUACCGGCAGAGCAACGGGGUGACAGCCGAACUCCCCCCCCCAAGAUCACCCCCUCACUCGGCGUGGGACGGCCCCUAUUUAUAAUCCGAAUCCUGGUGAGCGAGAAAAGGACGGCAAAGGUAGCUAAUUAAGAGACACCGGGGACCGAGCUGGGACUUUGGAUACCAGUACAAUAACACUGCUAUAUAUUGUAAUUGUUUUUAUGCUUUCUACCCUUGUAUGCUGUAAUAAA